rnacentral:tRNA from 1 species
AGCAGCGUGGCUUAUUGGAAAGAGCACAGGUCUCAGAAUCAGAGGACCUGGGUUCUAAUCCCAGCUCUGCCG